UACAGAGGGUGCUAGCGUUAAUCGGAAUUACUGGGCGUAAAGCGUGCGUAGACGGUUAUUUAAGUCGGAUGUGAAAGCCCCGGGCUCAACCUGGGAAUUGCAUUCGAGACUGAAUAGCUAGGGUACGGUAGAGGGAAGCGGAAUUUCCGGUGUAGCGGUGAAAUGCGUAGAUAUCGGAAGGAACAUCAGUGGCGAAAGCGGCUUCCUGGACCAGUACCGACGUUCAGGCACGAAAGCGUGGGGAGCAAACAGG
rnacentral:rRNA from 1 species